rnacentral:lncRNA from 1 species
AUUUUUUCACACCCAUUUUGUUCACAGCAAAAAUAUUAACAGAUACUUUUUUUGUUUUUGUUUUUUCCUGUAAUGAUUUUACUGGAUUUAAAAUGUACUCUGGCUUAUCUACAUAAGACCGUAAAAUAGCACUUAGAGAAAAAGCUAUAUUCAUUGGGUGGCUGCAUAAUCUUCAACAUAAUUAAAAUAACUUAAACAAAAGGGGGAAAUGUAGUAGAAGUCUACUAAAGUCGAUGUAUCUAGAGUAAACCUCAGAAUGAAUAGUUUCCUGGUACUUAGACCUUGAAGAAAGCAUUGUGAAAAACAGUGAUUGUUUUCUGUGAUUUAUAAAGUUGUUUUUCUGAAGUUUUACAGCCUUUGAAUGACUUUAGUCACAAGAUGGUCCUAGCAAACCUGGAACAUCUUGCAUUAUUGGGUACUGCAAACAGUGCGCAAUAAAGACUAAAGUUGCAGAUGUGUGAUGUUUUCCUUCACAAAACAUAUAGAUCAGGGACUCUGGUAUGAGGAACUUGUUUUACUCCCCAAACAACUUUUGUGUAACAAUCAAUAAACAUGCUUCUGCAUGGCUGUUCGAGGUUCAGUCCAAUGAGGCUGUAAGUCCCUGCUUGCCUGUAAGGUCUAACUUUAACCCUGGAGUGAUUUUCUUUCUUUGAUCAUCUCUACAACUCAAUCACCAACAGGAAGUGACAGCUCACACACGUGAGUGCUUCCACACAUGAACAGAAGCUGGGCAGGAUAGUUUUCUAUCGGGGGUAACAAUUCCCAAAUUGCCUGUAGAUCCAAUCGACUCCAAGGCGGGCAUAUUUGUCCUCUGUGCAGUGCUGCUCUGAAGCCCCACGGCCAUCACAACUCCCGGCUGACAGGCUUCAUAGUCAUUGAGAAGGCUGAACUGAGCAAUAGCAGUUCAUUUUCAUAAAGCCUGAAAUCAGAGAUCCCUUCCUGGAAUCCAGUCGUCAGCUCUUUCAUUCUGGGAAUGUCGUUCAGGCCACAGCUUUCAUUUUCAGAAACUAAUUUCAGCAUGGAGAAACGGGCCAGACAGGGUCCUUGUCAAAGACAAGAUAAAGACAGUUUUGCCAGGAAUGAGCGAAGUGAAUCAUGCAUUUGAGUAACUACAAUGGACAUCCUUGCCAAGAACUACCCAGCAUAUUUAAGUGGCUUGUGAUAUCAGUCAGGAAGGCCAAGUCUUUGUCCUUAUUUCUGCUCCCAUGCUCAGGCAUGGGGUUCCCUGCAGAAGACGUGAACAAGUCAGUUCCUCCCAAUAGUUCAAAGUCUGCUUCUUCAGUAUCCUAACACAACUCGGCUGGCCGUAUUGCCCAACUAACUCUCUGAACUCCUGUGGUAUGAGGAAAGGAAGAGGGGUGUCCGGGUUAUGGUGUGAGGCUGGUCAGGGCUAUUGGCUAAGUAGUUAGGGAUGACCUUGAACUCCUGACUCACCUACCUCCACCUCAGUGACAGGAUCCAAGUAGGUUUCCAGCACAAUGAUUCCUGGCCAGUAACCCCAUGCACAGACUUAAGCUCUCAACAAAGCCCCACUUCGGAUUCCAGUAUUGGAAUAAACUGCUUAACACCACCCAUAGCCAAAUUACCAUCAAGCUAACCAAGUUAACACAUACUGAUUUUAACCAGUCCACACUAACUUUUUUUUUUUUUUUUUUGGUUUUUCGAGACAGGGUUUCUCUGUCUAGCUUUGGAGUCUAUCCUGGCACUCACUCUGGAGACCAGGCUGGCCUCAAACUCACAGAGAUCCACCUGCCUCUGCCUCCCUAGUGCUGGGAUUAAAGGCAUGCUCCACCAAUGCCUGGCUCACAUUAGCCUUUUUUAAUUGGUUUUUCUGAGACAGGGUUUCUCUGUGUAGUCCUGCUGUCCUGGAACUCACUCUGUAGACCAAGCUGGCCUGGAACUCACCGAGAUCCACCAGCCUCUGCCUCCUGAAUGCAGGGAUUAAAGGUGUACGUUACCACCACCCCGAGCCACGACUUCUUUUCUUGUUUAGUUACAUUUGGACCGCUGGAGAUGGCUCAGCUUUUCAGAAUGCACACUACCCACCAUAGGUGGCUCACAACCACCUGUAACUCCAGCUCCAGAAGGAUCAGUGCCUCUGGCUUCCAUCAACACCCACACAACUAUUCACACAUAUACACAUAAUUAAAAAAAUAAUAAACAUUGUUUAAAAUCACAUUUCUGUGCGUGUGUGUUGUGUGUAUAUGAUUGCACUAGCGGAAGCACACGUGUGGAGAUCAGGAGUUGGCUCUCACUUUGAGCCAUGUGGGACUUAAAGCUCUUUUACCUGCUGGCCAGCCUCCUCAGUCUGGAAUUAUUCGUUCCUCUUACCCAUCUCCCUUUUUCUGGCAGCAGCUAAGAUUUACAUUUGCCUGCCCUAUUGUUUUUCUUUUAAAUUCCAAUAAAAUGGUCCUUGGUUUUAAAAUUAUUAUAUUAACUAAACUAAGAACCAACAAAAGGGAACGCCGAAUUCCAGGUUAACACCACCACCCUGAGCCUACUUUUAAUUUUCAUUUGUAAUGCUUUGUGCACACCAGAAAACAUUAAAAAUUGGUAUAAAAACAUGACACUUAUUGGUGCACAGUGUGGUUCAGUAUAGCAUCUUCUGCUUUUGCAACAACCUAGAAAUGGAAAUUCCUCAACCUAAAAUGAGCAAACAUCUAAGGAAUUCUCCUGUUUUAAAAUAACGCUCCAAAAUACUUAACAUUACUACCAACUAUUCAAAUGGAAUAAAGAUCUCAUGCCAACACAAAAACAGCACCCACAACUCAAAUGCCUCACUCUCCAGCCCCAGUAACACUGGAGUAAACAUUCAUUAUACACAGCACCUCAGAAAGAACACUGGUCCUCAAGCCAUAACCCGGAACCCCUGCUGCCUAAGUUGGCCCGCACAUUCCUGUCCCCAGUGGCUUCCCUCUUGUUAAGUCAUCGGUGGUGCCGGGACCCCCGACAGACACACGCACACGCGCGCGCACACACACACACAUGCUCCAGCGCAACAAGGCUGCACCACUCCAGUGCAGCAGGCCAGCUCCUCCACCCAAGGCCCCGGAGGAAGCUGGCCUUUCGGGUCAGGUGGCUCAAGUCCGCAGGACGGUCCAGGAGAUUUUGGCUCCGGAUGGGGAGCACGCCCGGCAAGAUUCUGGGACCUGGGAGCUGACGGAGCCGCAAAAAGUAGAAAUAAUGGAGCCAGCUGACCAAAGACUGAAACCCCAGCCAAAAGAAAUCUUAUUUGUUUUUGUUUGUUUGUUUGUUUUUUGUGGGUAGUCUCACCAUGUAGCCCAGGCUAACUUCAAACUCAUUAUCUUCCUAUCAUCACUUCCAAAGCACUGAGAUUAUAGCUAUGUGUCACCAUGCCC